rnacentral:rRNA from 1 species
GUGUCAGCAGCCGCGGUAAUACGAAGGGGGCUAGCGUUGUUCGGAAUUACUGGGCGUAAAGCGCGCGUAGGCGGCGACCUUUGUCAGAGGUGAAAUCCCGAGGCUCAACUUCGGAAUUGCCUUUGAAACGGGGUUGCUUGAGUCCGAGAGAGGAUGGCGGAAUUCCUAGUGUAGAGGUGAAAUUCGUAGAUAUUAGGAAGAACACCGGUGGCGAAGGCGGCCAUCUGGCUCGGUACUGACGCUCAGGCGCGAAAGCGUGGGGAUCAAACAGGAUUAGAUACCCUGGUAGUCCACGCUGUAAACGAUGAGUGCUAGUUGUUGGGAAGUUUACUUCUCAGUGACGCAGCUAACGCGUUAAGCACUCCGCCUGGGGAGUACGGCCGCAAGGUUAAA